GAACGGGUGAGUAACACGUGAGUAACCUGCCCUUGACUCUGGGAUAAGCCCGGGAAACUGGGUCUAAUACCGGAUAGGAGCGCCUGUCGCAUGACGGGUGUUGGAAAGAUUUUUCGGUCAUGGAUGGACUCGCGGCCUAUCAGCUUGUUGGUGAGGUAAUGGCUCACCAAGGCGACGACGGGUAGCCGGCCUGAGAGGGUGACCGGCCACACUGGGACUGAGACACGGCCCAGACUCCUACGGGAGGCAGCAGUGGGGAAUAUUGCACAAUGGGCGGAAGCCUGAUGCAGCGACGCCGCGUGAGGGAUGACGGCCUUCGGGUUGUAAACCUCUUUCAGUAGGGAAGAAGCGAAAGUGACGGUACCUGCAGAAGAAGCACCGGCUAACUACGUGCCAGCAGCCGCGGUAAUACGUAGGGUGCGAGCGUUAUCCGGAAUUAUUGGGCGUAAAGAGCUCGUAGGCGGUUUGUCGCGUCUGUCGUGAAAGUCCGGGGCUUAACCCCGGAUCUGCGGUGGGUACGGGCAGACUAGAGUGCAGUAGGGGAGACUGGAAUUCCUGGUGUAGCGGUGGAAUGCGCAGAUAUCAGGAGGAACACCGAUGGCGAAGGCAGGUCUCUGGGCUGUAACUGACGCUGAGGAGCGAAAGCAUGGGGAGCGAACAGGAUUAGAUACCCUGGUAGUCCAUGCCGUAAACGUUGGGCACUAGGUGUGGGGACCAUUCCCACGGUUUCCGCGCCGCAGCUAACGCAUUAAGUGCCCCGCCUGGGGAGUACGGCCGCAAGGCUAAAACUCAAAGGAAUU
rnacentral:rRNA from 1 species